rnacentral:rRNA from 1 species
AGAGUUUGAUCAUGGCUCAGGAUGAACGCUAGCGGCAGGCCUAACACAUGCAAGUCGAGGGGUAACAGGGUAGCAAUAUCGCUGACGACCGGCGCACGGGUGAGUAAUGCAUAUGCAACCUUCCUUUAACUGGGGCAUAGCCCGGAGAAAUUCGGAUUAAUACCCCAUAACAUCAUUGAAGGGCAUCUUUUAAUGAUUAAAGCUCCGGCGGUUAAAGAUGGGCAUAUGUACCAUUAGCUUGUUGGUGAGGUAACGGCUCACCAAGGCUACGAUGGUUAGGGGGUCUGAGAGGAUGAUCCCCCACACUGGUACUGAGACACGGACCAGACUCCUACGGGAGGCAGCAGUGAGGAAUAUUGGGCAAUGGGCGCAAGCCUGACCCAGCCAUGCCGCGUGAAGGAUGAAUGCCCUAUGGGUUGUAAACUUCUUUUGUACGAGACAAAACUUCUGGUCGUGACCGGGAUUGAUGGUAUCGUACGAAUAAGCAUCGGCUAACUCCGUGCCAACAGCCGCGGUAAUACGGAGGAUGCAAGCGUUAUCCGGAUUCAUUGGGUUUAAAGGGUGCGUAGGCGGAAUAAUAAGUCAGUGGUGAAAGCCUGUGGCUCAACCAUAGAAUUGCCAUUGAUACUGUUAUUCUUGAGUAUAGUUGAAGUGGGCGGAAUGUGUAAUGUAGCGGUGAAAUGCUUAGAUAUUACACAGAACACCAAUUGCGAAGGCAGCUCACUAAGCUAUUACUGACGCUGAGGCACGAAAGCGUGGGGAGCAAACAGGAUUAGAUACCCUGGUAGUCCACGCCGUAAACGAUGAUCACUCGUUGUUGGCGAUACACCGUCAGCGACUGAGCGAAAGCAAUAAGUGAUCCACCUGGGGAGUACGGUCGCAAGACUGAAACUCAAAGGAAUUGACGG